rnacentral:rRNA from 1 species
CCGUCGCUUAUAAUACCCGCGGCGCACCUUCCGAUACGGGAUACCUGGGGUACGACUUCACCCCAGUCAAGAAGAAAACGGGGUUUUAGCGCUUAACUAGGGAGAGCUGGUCCAUGGGGAAAGCCCCUCUCCUGGGAAACACGCGAGGUGUAACCAGACGGAAAGCAUUUCCCGUACAUUCUUACUUGCGGCACGAGAGGUCAUACUUCCGGGGAUAUUAAUGUUAUAUUUGGUGACUAGAGGUUUGGGUGGUAUAGCCCCCCCUUGCGCGGUGGCGAGCUCUGGGCUAAAUUGGGGAAUGAUGGACGGAACCAGAGGUGGGACGAGGUCUUGAGGGCUCCCGUCCGGCGGGGUUGCGUCCCAGGAAGCCACAUAAAGAACUCAAAACCAAAAAAAAAGAAAGUGUUGGGACCUAAUCCGAGAUUAAAAAAAAAAAAAACGUGAGCAAGGGAGAAACAAACGGAGCGAUAGUAUUGGUGUUGUUAUGAAAAUUCGGUAGAGGGGGGAGAGAUAGGUGGGAGCCGAAACGAGCAUAGGAUAUAAAGACGAUGCGGGGGCGGAAGAAGGGGGUGGGGGGGGAGUGUAUAUAUACGGAAUAAUCGGUCCUAUGGUGGAGUAAAACCGGUGCACGAAGCACUAUGUGCUCAGUAGGUACUCGGCGGUAACUUUCGAAGACGAUGAGGGCGUGGGGAAAAGCACACACCCAAGCACGAUGCUAGCUGUGUGAAUAGUAUCACAC